UACGGGGGGGGCAAGCGUUGUUCGGAAUUACUGGGCGUAAAGGGUUUGUAGGUGGCUUGCUAAGUCAGACGUGAAAUCCCUCAGCUUAACUGAGGAACUGCGUCUGAGACUGGCAAGCUUGAGUGCAGGAGAGGAACGCGGAAUUCCAGGUGUAGCGGUGAAAUGCGUAGAUAUCUGGAGGAACACCGGUGGCGAAGGCGGAUCUCUGGGCCUUACCUGACGCUGAGGCGCGAAAGCUAGGGGAGCGAACAGG
rnacentral:rRNA from 1 species